GAUGAACGCUGGCGGCGUGCCUAAUACAUGCAAGUCGAGCGAACAGACGAGGAGCUUGCUCCUCUGACGUUAGCGGCGGACGGGUGAGUAACACGUGGAUAACCUACCUAUAAGACUGGGAUAACUUCGGGAAACCGGAGCUAAUACCGGAUAAUAUAUUGAACCGCAUGGUUCAAUAGUGAAAGACGGUUUUGCUGUCACUUAUAGAUGGAUCCGCGCUGCAUUAGCUAGUUGGUAAGGUAACGGCUUACCAAGGCAACGAUGCGUAGCCGGCCUGAGAGGGUGAUCGGCCACACUGGAACUGAGACACGGUCCAGACUCCUACGGGAGGCAGCAGUAGGGAAUCUUCCGCAAUGGGCGAAAGCCUGACGGAGCAACGCCGCGUGAGUGAUGAAGGUCUUCGGAUCGUAAAACUCUGUUAUUAGGGAAGAACAAAUGUGUAAGUAACUAUGCACGUCUUGACGGUACCUAAUCAGAAAGCCACGGCUAACUACGUG
rnacentral:rRNA from 1 species